CUGAAACCAUUAUCUACAUGGAUGCAAUAACACUCUUUUUUCUGCAUCAUCAUAAAAAUUCGCGCGGAAAAGGCGCAUCAUCACCAUGCUCUGUUUUAUUUGCGCUAAGAUACUAUUAAUAUUACGACGCGGCAGGCGCACACGCGGCUUGCAUUGACGACGAUCUCGCGGCAUACUGACAGCAGCAGCUCUUUUAUUUUUCUGAAUGGAGGCGUGGAUUCAUUCACAGAAGGGAGCAAACUAACAGUAAGUUUGCAUAGGUUUUGGGAACGCAUGAAUCGGCUGCUGUUGCUGUUCCGGCGGACUGCCCGGUGCAGGCAGGGCGGGCUGCUGUUUGAGUCGUUUGGAACAGGCCGGCAAAACUGCAAAUAAUAACAGUGCUGUAACAGAUAAAAAAUAAUAGAGAUGCAUCCAACGGCUAAUCUACGUGCCUUCCUUCUGGCCCUCACUACCCCUCGGCGCAGGCUGCGACGCUUUUGCGUUGCCCUAUCUGAGGUUCUACAUACAAAUGCAAAUUAGCUUAGAGCUACGUAGGCAAAGUAACGUUGUGCGCUUUACAUAUGCUCGUGCAGCAGGCUAACAUGUAUGGGUACGUAGGCGGACAUCUGACAUGAUAAUUGCACGCCGCCGAGUGGAUCUGGAUCUUUCGGUCACUUCUUUUGGUCGAUUUUUGGUCAUUAGGGACCCGCAGCCUGACGGGGCCUUAAGCCGAAUUUCGGCUGCGGGUACUGCGGGUACAGUACCCGCAGUAUUCGCAGGAUUUGCCAACCUCUGAUCUCAAUAGGAUGCAGGCAGGGUAUUAGAACGGGCGGUAUGCACGGACAAUGAACAGAGACAUACAGAAUUACCGCAUGAUGAAUUUAAUUUACAACGACUGCACACUGCCCAUCAGGGUGAGCCCAUCAACACGUAAGGCCCCCCCCUAGGUUACCAUGCAAGCCCGCCCGGCCGUCAGAGCGAUCAGAGGGAACCAAAAUUUGGGAAUAGCACCUUGUGCACUUCGUGUGCAACACUCACAGGCGCCGGUCCACCACCGAUAGAAUGGGAGGGUCGGGGCCCACGCCGACUUCUAAAACAAUAUUAGUUUUUGUGUUUUUUCAAUUUAAGAGGACUAAGUAUUCUUAUUGACAUGCAGUUGAUAAAAGCAUAUGCUCAUAAGAGGCCUAUCUGCUUAGUAAGAACAACCCCUCACGCCGUUGUUUGUAGCUCUCCAACUACCAACAAAGCAACUCCCCGAGAGCCGCCUGACUGUUGUGUUCCCGUGCCUGCCAUGAGUCGUUGAGGCCCUCGCUGGUGAACAUGUGCCCCUCUACACAUAGUAAUCUUGCAUGGCCGCCGUCGUCGGUGGCAACGCUAAUACAUGCCGGCACCGCUAAGUCACCAUAGCCGAAUGUAACAAGUCUUACUGAAUAUUUGUGAACGAACAAUAAAGAACAAUAAAAAAAGCGGUUGUGAUGUGCGCUGUCUGUCAAACGCUAGUUUUUUGUAAAUGACGCCAAGACCUUUUCACCUCACGCAACUGCCAAUCAACCGUCCAAACUGUUCCCCAACCGCGCGCCUCCCAGGUCCCAACUGUGAAAUG
rnacentral:lncRNA from 1 species